CUACUACUCCCUCCGUCCAGAAAUACUAGUCAUCAAAAUGGAUAAAAAGAGAUGUAUCUAGAACUAAAAUACAUCUAGAUACAUCCCUUUUUAUCCAUUUCGAUGACAAGUAUUUCCGGACGGAGGGAGUACCUC
rnacentral:pre_miRNA from 1 species